GUGAGGAAUAUUGGUCAAUGGGCGGGAGCCUGAACCAGCCAAGUCGCGUGAGGGAAGACGGCCCUACGGGUUGUAAACCUCUUUUGUCGGGGAGCAAAGAGCGCCACGCGUGGCGAGAUGAGAGUACCCGAAGAAAAAGCAUCGGCUAACUCCGUGCCAGCAGCCGCGGUAAUACGGAGGAUGCGAGCGUUAUCCGGAUUUAUUGGGUUUAAAGGGUGCGCAGGCGGAAAGUGCAAGUCAGCGGUCAAACGACGGGGCUCAACCCCGUCUCGCCGUUGAAACUGUCUUUCUAGAGUGAGCGAGAGGUAUGCGGAAUGCGUGGUGUAGCGGUGAAAUGCAUAGAUAUCACGCAGAACCCCGAUUGCGAAGGCAGCAUACCGGUGCUCAACUGACGCUGAUGCACGAAAGCGUGGGGAUCAAACAGG
rnacentral:rRNA from 1 species